rnacentral:rRNA from 1 species
GACGAACGCUGGCGGCGUGCUUAACACAUGCAAGUCGAACGGAAAGACCCUGCUUUUGUGGGGUGCUCGAGUGGCGAACGAGUGAGUAACACGUGAGUAACCUGCCCUUGACUUUGGGAUAACUUCAGGAAACUGGGGCUAAUACCGGAUAGGAGCUCCUGCUGCAUGGUGGGGGUUGGAAAGUUUCGGCGGUUGGGGAUGGACUCGCGGCUUAUCAGCUUGUUGGUGGGGUAGUGGCUUACCAAGGCUUUGACGGGUAGCCGGCCUGAGAGGGUGACCGGCCACAUUGGGACUGAGAUACGGCCCAGACUCCUACGGGAGGCAGCAGUGGGGAAUAUUGCACAAUGGGCGGAAGCCUGAUGCAGCAACGCCGCGUGCGGGAUGACGGCCUUCGGGUUGUAAACCGCUUUCGCCUGUGACGAAGCGUGAGUGACGGUAAUGGGUAAAGAAGCACCGGCUAACUACGUG